rnacentral:lncRNA from 1 species
AUUUUACCCUUCACACUUUGCAUCAUCACUUCAUUUUCACCCUUGGACCAUUGCACACCACAUACACUAUUUGCCAUGCAUUCUCCCUAGCCUAACCUGAUUCUCUAAGGUUUUUGGGGCCUAUAUAUACAUGUUUACACCCAUUGGCAAAGGGUACACACUCUCAUAUUCACCAUUCAUCACAGAAAUUCGUCCAUACUCACCCUAGGU